rnacentral:lncRNA from 1 species
ACGUACACUUAGGUCAUCAUUUCUUUAUCUUUCACUGCUAGUUACCGACAACUUAGAAAAUGAGACUCCAGAACUGUGCCCACUUACGAGCUUCGGGAAGAAAUGUGAGACGGUUCCUUGUGAAGCAUUAUGGAUGUUGGUAAGUCGCACCUCCGCUGUUGCAGGUACUACCUGUCGAGGCUCCAGAAGGCUCAGGCAGUGGAGUGGGAUCUCCUCGCGGGAGUGUGUGCUUCCAUUCUGUUCGCCCGUCUUCUGAACCACGCUCAGGAACUGGUAAGCCGUCGUCUGGAGACCUGAGGGACGAGGGGAGAAGAAAUGCCACCUGGGACAUACCAUCCGUUCCCUGUGUCCCCUUGAGUUCGGUUCAACGGCCUGGUUCUCCUGACCAACCACUGUGCUGGGCUGAAGGGCGCCAAGGGGAGGAGACAGUCUAGCCUAAGACGUGGACACAGAUUCGAGGGGCAAGAGAAGGUUCCACAGAAAGCGUGAAGGGGCAUCAUCUGACAAGACCCUCCAGCAUUUUUUUAAUACUUUUUUUUCAUUUUUUUUAGUGUUGAUUUGAGAGAGAGAGCAAGCAGGAAAGGGGCAGAGAGAGGGGGACAGGGAAUCUGAAGCAGGGUCUUUGCCGACAGCAGAGGGCCCGACGUGGGGCUCGAACUCACGAACCAUGAGAUCGUGACCUGAGUCAAAGUCAGAUGCUUAACCCACUGGGCCACCCAGGCGCCCCAAG